ACCCCCAUGAGAAUCGGCCCCUUUAUUUGGAUCCUUUGGGAGAGUCUCCAGUUAAAAUGAGGAAAUGCUUAGAAUCGACAAGGGCAUUCCUGCUCAGCAAAGGCUGCAGUCUUCCUAGGUGGACCUGCAGUUCUCUCCCUCACAAACUUCAGAAAGACAGCACAUCCUGUGGAGUCUUGGCUUUGAAAUUUGCUGAGAGCAUUUUGAAAGGGGAGGACAUUAAUAUCAGUACUGACCAAAAGGCAGCUGAGAAGCUGAGGCUGGUUAUUGCCAUGACUCUCAUCCGAGAAUCUGACAGUCUCAGCAACCUCUGCCAUUUUUGUGGGUUGAAGGAGUCUGGCAAACUAUGGG